rnacentral:rRNA from 1 species
AAAAAUGAACAUGGUCUCCGUUGGUGAACCAGCGGAGGGAUCAUUA